UACGAAGGGAGCUAGCGUUGUUCGGAAUUACUGGGCGUAAAGCGCACGUAGGCGGAUUAGUAAGUCAGGGGUGAAAUCCCGGGGCUCAACCUCGGAACUGCCUUUGAUACUGCUGAUCUCGAGUCUGGAAGAGGUGAGUGGAAUUCCUAGUGUAGAGGUGAAAUUCGUAGAUAUUAGGAAGAACACCAGUGGCGAAGGCGGCUCACUGGUCCGGUACUGACGCUGAGGUGCGAAAGCGUGGGGAGCAAUCAGG
rnacentral:rRNA from 1 species